CAAUAACUAGUUGUUGAGUAAGUGACUGUGUCAGUAUCCCAAGUACUCCGUCGAGGGAAUGCUGCUGUAGCCCCUCCUUUAUCUCUUGCAUGUAAAUCAGUUCUAUAAGCGAUGUCAACUCCAUCCCUGUUUUACAUUAGCUGCCUGUCUCUAAUGAUUUUAGGGAAAUUAGUGCUUUUUUAAAAAAACUGAUAAUAUAGAUUAUUUGCACCUAGUUGCACUAGCAGACCCAGCAAAAUUACACGGAGUUUUCUAAACCAGGACUUUGACUGCAACUUGCUUUGUAGCUCAUGGGCACUUUGCAGGAGUGAAUAGUCGACACUCAAGGAACAUCAGUAGGAAAGCUAGAGUUCAACGGGGAGGUCUAGAGAGAAAUUUCUAAAAAAGGGAUAAAGCAUACGUGUUACAAUAAGGACACACUUUGAAAAUACCAUGCUAAGUGAAGGAAAUCAACUACAGGAGACCACAUAUUGUACCAUUCCACUUGCGGGAAGUGUCCUGAAUAGGCAAAUCCUAGAGACAGAAAGUAGAUUUGUUAUUUCCUCAGGCCUGGGAGGUUUGGAGGGGAACUGGAGUAAUUGCUAAUGGCUUCUUGCGGGGGGUGUGUGUGUGUGAUGAAAUUGUUUUAAAAUUGAUUGUGGUAAUGUUUGCACCUGUGUGUGAUGACACUAAAAGUCAUUGCAUUGUACACGUUUAAAGAGAGAAAUUGAAGGGUGUGGGAAUGAUAUCUCCAUCAACCUGUUAUUUAAAAGAGGCCAAAUGAACUUAUCUAUGAAACAGAAGCAGACUCACAGACAGACACAAAGACUUGUGGUUGCCAAGGGGGAAGGGGGAAGGGAGAGAUGGAUUGGGAGUUUGGGGUUGGCAGAUGCAAACUGUUAUAUACGGGACGGUUAAACAACAAGGUCCUACUGUUUAGCACAGGGAACUGUAGUCAACAUCCUCUGAUAAACUAAUGGAAAAGAAUAUGAGAAAGAACACACAUAUAUUUGUAUAUAACUAAAUCACUGGCCACACCCGAGGCAUAUGGAGGUUCCCAGGCUAGCGGUCGAACUGGAGCUGUAGCUGCUGGCUCACACCACAGUUACAGCAAGGCCAGUUCUGAGCCGCAUCCGCGACCUGCACCACAGCUCACAGCAACACCGGAUCCUUAACCCACUGAGUGAGCCCAAGGAUCGAACCUUCGUCCUCAUGGAGGCUAGUCAGAUGCAUUUCCACUGAGCCAUGAUGGGAGCUCCUUCACUGACAUCUUGAUCAACACAUGGAAGUACCCUGCCUCUUCCCCUUUUUAUUUGCACGUUCAUCUUUUUUUUUUUUUUUUUUUUUUUUUUUUUGGUCUUUUUGCUAUUUCUUUGGGCCGCUUCCGCGGCAUAUGGGGGUUCCCAGGCUAGGGGUCGAAUCGGAGCUGUAGCCUCUGGCCUAUGCCAGAGCCACAGCAACGCGGGAUCCGAGCCACGUCUGCAACCUACACCACAGCUCACGGCAACGCCGGAUCGUUAACCCACUGAGCAAGGCCAGGGACCGAACCCGCAACCUCGUGGUCCCUAGUCGGAUUCGUUAACCCCUGUGCCACGACGGGAACUCCCUGCACAUUCAUCUUUUUUUCUGAUGCCCACCUCCAGUCUCCUGAGAAGGUUCCGCAAUGACAGAGACGUGUUCUCAGUGGCUGGUUCUCAAGGUCAGCUCGGCCUGCGCUAGAUGGAGGCCUCCUUCCCCGGUGUCCCCUGAAGGCCAUGGUGUCCUCUCUCUGGCUGAAAAAUGAGGGACAGCAGCGGGUCUCUGCUGAUGCUGGACAAAGCAAUUAGUGCAUUUCUCGUGACUAGUUAAUUCGAUUUUUAUGCAGCUUUUCAAGCCCUGGGCACCUCUCAUGCCCUCCAAGUGGAACGUGAGUCAUCCAGGGACCAAGUUUCCCACUGUGUACGUGGUGCUGCUGCCGAGUGUUCUCAGUGCAGGGAAACUGCUGUUCCUCCCUCCCAUGCCCCCACUAGCUGGAUGCAUGUGCCAAUGUUUCCAAGAGUAUCAUCUGCCGGCUCUUUUGUUGUUUCUAAUCAAAGAGCAGACACCCUUUGAUCAUGUCACAUCACAGUAUUAGACUGUAAAUACUUUGUUAGAAAGAUGAAAAUAUUACACUGGUACCACUGUCUCAGAUGUUCUGUGUUUACUGUCACCCUGAACAGGUAAAGGAAAAUGCAUCUGAUCAGAUCAGAUCUAAAAUAUGAAUAUUGCAAAUAUGAAAUGUUCUAGAGCCACGUGUGGUUCACUAUAAUGAGUCCAAUCAAUAAGCAUUUUCAAAAGACCUGCUGGUUUUGAAUGCCAGGUUAUUGGAGACAUCUUCCCUUCCCCACGAGUUUAGAGGUUCUGAGAGCAAGACAGACUUCCUGGUGGUUGGAGGAAGACCUGGCUGUGGUGGGAGCUGAUGGGAACAGAGACUGGCAUCCUUGGGGAACAGAGUCCCUGCGUGGCUGCUUUCAUGGGCAGGCUUCACUCAUCAGGGGCUUGUUUGAGCUUACAGAAUGACUGGCUCCCCUUCAGCCUUUUCAUGGCCUGUCCUCUUUCAUUCUCCCCGUGGGACAACUAAGGUGGGUACCCCCACAAAAUCCAAAUAAUUUCCCAUUCACGGGAAUGUAAAGGCAAAGCAAGUGCUGAAAUGUCUUCCUUCACUUGUUCCUAAAGUUCCCAUUUGCAGUAUUUUUUCGGCACCCAGGGAGGAAGUGGGUAUUGGCUGCCGCGGUUUUGUUGUUCUGGGUCCUCCCUUGGGAAAUCUGGCUGCCCUGGGUCCCCUGUGACAGCGUGGGCAAGGUAUUGUGCCUCGUGCUGGCCUCUGCAGCUGCCCUCACAUCUCACCCCAAGUGUGGAUUUUAUACCUUGGUCCUCCCACUUUCUAAUGUCCAAGGCUGAGUUUUUCCCAACACUGUCCCUGGGACAUGCUCUUCAUGUAAUUUUUCUCAUGCGGACACCAACGUGCCUAACGCAUUCACACCUCCUCACUUCUAGACUAGAACAUUCCAGGGUGCAAGUAUUGCAUGGGUUAGGAUGCUUCGCUGCAGAAAACUACCAAAGAAGUGGGAGACAGGGACGCAGCGGAAUACUGUAGGAUCUGACUGUUUGCUCCUCUGAAGUUCCUUUGGCUCUCCGUCUUGGUGGAUGGGCUUUGUCCUCAAUCUCGCUCACCUUUUGGAGUCAAGAUGACAACGGCAGUCCCUGUCAACACGUUUAGAAAGAGGAAGGGGGUAAUCUCUCCCUCUGGCUUGGUGGAAAGUGAAAACACCUUUCUCAGAAACAUCCUUCUCCCCAGCCGACUACCCCUUCUCUCAUUGGUCACAGUUUUGUCACAUGUUCAUAUGUGAACCAAUUACUGGCAAGAAUAGGAUUCCCAUAGUGCCCACAGACCAUUCAUGACCUCCUUCCUGGAGUGGGGAAGGGGCUAGCUUCUCCUGGAAAAGUGAGGACACCUGCAUGGAAUAAGUUUCUGUGAAGGAAGAAGCAAGAGUGUCUGUCACGGAUAUGCCAUGAAUGUCCCCAGCCCUUGGGAUGGCUAAGGUCAUCACAGAAAUACUGAGAGUUCUAAGAAACCUGGCCUCUCCCCAGUCAAAAGACUUAUUAUAGUCUAGUUGAGAACUAAACAGUUAGUGAACCCAUGUAACAGUAUUCACUCCCUGAACAACAACAACAAAAAUGUUUCUUCAUCCCUUCCAAGUUACGGUGACCAACAGCUUUUACUGAUGUGUUGUUUUCACUUGUUAGUGCUUUAUGGUUUGAAGCAUUUUGUUUUACAGUUGUGAGCCAUUUGUUCAAAAAUGGACAGAUUCUUUAGCUCUAAUGAAAAGUAGGACAGCGAGAGCUGAGGGUUUUGAUUCUCCACCGACUUUAACACCCCUGAGCCUGGUGUAAGUUGGAAUUGUUUUAUUAGAAAUUCAGGGAAUAAGAGCAGAUGAUUCCACCACUCCUGGUUGCUAUGGCAAGGAAUUUUUAAAGCUUUGAUUUAUGAGAAAGAGUGAUCAUUAGCAGCCCUUUGUUUUUAAAGUAGAGAGCCCUGCAAAUUGUGAAGGCUGGAGUGGAAUCCAUGACUGGCACCUCACUGGAGAAAAACUUCAGGUUAUUUACAAAGAAAGGAGAACAGGCAGAAGAAGGCUUUUGGAGAGCAGAGUCCUGCUUGUCAUUUUCAUGUGUAAAGAUCCUUGGCCAAGGAGUCCUGUGACCCAGGUCUGUGCUAGUUCUAUCUCAGCAUUUGUUUCUCCUACGGUCUGGGACCAAUUACGUUAUCAUUUCGUAACUUUUGAAUGCUCCUCUCUAGAAUUAUUAGGUCUGACCAGAUCACCUCUGAGGGUCUUGAAAACUGUUUGAUUUUGUGACUCUGCCUAUUUCCUCUUGCCAGUGUAUUGUGCCUUCAUGGUAUCCCCGAGGGAACAACCCUCCCUCCCCCACCACACACUUCACAUAGCAAUUACCCCUGGCCCCAUUUGUUCCAGGCACCUGUCUGGAAGAUCUACUUGGUGUCUGUCCUGCACUCAGAUUUCAGUCCUGAUGUUAAGUAACCCCAGAGAUAUCCCAAGUGUGCUCCUGGCAAGUAUUAAUACAGCCUUUCGGAAUGUGACUCAUAUGAUGAAGAAAUAUAUUUUAUAUCACAAUCCAGCACAUGCAUACACACACACCCACCAUGCACACAUGCAGGCACACGCACGAUUAAAUGCAUACUUAUUGAGUAUUUACCAGAUUCUAAGUGUUAGAUAUAUUAUUGUAGUGAAUGAAAUUCUGGUUCUUAUGGUGUUUCUAAAUACAGAGCAAUAAUAAACCAAAGAAACUGUAAGUAAUAUAUUUAUGAAAUAUAUGCCUCCGUAUUAUAUAUAAUUUUAAUUUAUGUAUUAGGUCAUAAGUUCUAUGGGAAAAAACACAAAGUAGGAAGGGAGAUAGGAAAUCCUGGCGGUAGGGGGGUUCUGAUCGUUAAAUUGAGGGGUCAGCCAAGGCCUUCCUGAGACGAUGACAUUGAGGGUGAGGGGGCCAGGAUGUAGAUAUCCAGGGGAAGAGCAUCCCCGACGGAGGGAAGAGCAGUUACGGGAAUGUGCCUGAUGUGUUCCAGGAACAGAGGUGAUGUCCAGAGGCCUGGGGUGAAUAAGGAGUGAAUAGGACUGAGCUUCAAGUGGGUGGGGUGGGUCAUGGUGGGCUCUGCAGGCUUUCGGAAGGACUUUGGAUUUUACACUGAGAUCGAUUAUCCCUUGAUAAUCGAUAGAUGGAAUCCAGGGUUCUAGGAGAGUGAUUUGGGUUUUAACCGGGAACCGUUCUGGCUGUUAUACUGAGAGGAGCCUAAACACGCAGCCUGUGUCUUUACCCCUUCCUGAGUCAGGUGCUCUGAUGUUUUCUGUUGCCUUCGAAGUCAUUCAUCUAAAGACUGGUUAGGGUCCACAAGUUGACUUCAUUAUAAGGUGGCAACUGGCAGUUUUAAAAACAGAUUGUAGGGAGUUCCUAUUGUGGCACAGCAGAAACCAAUCCGACUAGUAUCCAUGAGGAUGCGGGUUCGAUCCCUGGCCUCCCUCAGUGGUCUGGGAUCUGGCGUUGCGGGGAGCUGUGCUGUAGGUCGCAGACUCGGCUUGGAUCCCGCAUUGCUGUGGCUGUGGUAUAGGCCGGCAGCUGUAGUUCUGGUUCGACCCCUAGCCUGGGAACUCCAUAUGCUGCAGAUGCCGU
ensembl:lncRNA